rnacentral:antisense_RNA from 1 species
GUACGCGUGCAGCGUAUGUUUACACAGUUCUGAACGCACGCAAUCCUCUUUGCCAAACUGAAUGAUGCCAACCAUCUCGUCUUCUUCGAAGCGGGACAUUGCAUCGCUGAGACCCGAUACUACGCCGCGUGGUAAAUCACACUGGGUAAUAUCACCGUUAACGAUCACCGUCACGUUUUCACCGAGACGGGU